UGAAUUAUAAUAACAUUGAGGUCUACUUGUACUAUAUUCAAAUCGAAAUUCAAAAAGAUAAUUAUCGUACUUCACUGUAAAGUCAAUUACUUCACUCAAUGUUUGAAGAUCAAGUAAGUUGAACAUUAAUUUUUUUACCUCAUAUUGUAAUCCGUUGUCGUAAUGUGUGAAGUCUUGCUUUAGAAUGCUCCGGGCACCUGGCUGUAGAACGAAGAAUAAAAAUUGCGAUAACAAAAUCCUAAAUAGAAUACUAACAAUGCUCUAAUUAGACUAUAAUAAUGGUAAACAAACGUAAUCAAAUUCAAAACAACUCAAAGAAAUUUCAAACAAACAAUAAAAUUUUUAAAGAAAUAUUAGAACGAUCACAAAUUUUACUCAAAUAUAUGUCAAUUCAACCUUAAUUUAAUUCUAGUUAAAACUCUAUUGAAUUUCACUCAACUUUAGACCAAAUGUAACUAAAUCUUAAACCCUAAUAAUUCCUAAAUCCUAAAUCAAAUCCUAAACAAAUCUUAAAUUAAAUCCUAUUCCAAACCCUAAACCUUAAAUCAAACCCUAAAUCAAACCCUAAACCAAACCCUAAUCCAAUCCUAAAUCCUAAACCAAACCUUAAAUCAAAUCCUAACCAAAUUCUAAUCCAAAUCCUAAAUCAAAUCCUAACCAAACCCUAAAUCCUAAUCCAAACCCUAAUCCAAAUCCUAAUCCAACCCUAAACUCUAAUCCAAAUCCUAAAUCCUAAACCAAACCUUAAAUCAAAUCCUAACCAAACCCUAGUCCAAACUCUAAUCCAAAUCCUAAAUCAAACCCUAACCAAACCCUAAAUCCUAAUCCAAACCAUAAUCCAAACCCUAAUCCAACCCUAAAUCAAACCUUAAAUCAAAUCCUAACCAAAUCCUAAUCCAAAUCCUAAUCCAAACCCUAAACCCUAAUCCAAACCCUAGCCAAACCCUAUUCCAAAUCCUAAUCCAAACCCUAAACCGAACCCUA
rnacentral:lncRNA from 1 species